CCUACGGGUGGCAGCAGUGGGGAAUAUUGGACAAUGGGCGAAAGCCUGAUCCAGCCAUGCCGCGUGUGUGAAGAAGGCCUUCGGGUUGUAAAGCACUUUCAGUGGGGAAGAAAGCCUUGGGGCUAAUACCCUCGAGGAAGGACAUCACCCACAGAAGAAGCACCGGCUAACUCCGUGCCAGCAGCCGCGGUAAUACGGAGGGUGCGAGCGUUAAUCGGAAUUACUGGGCGUAAAGCGCGCGUAGGCGGUCUGAUAAGCCGGUUGUGAAAGCCCCGGGCUCAACCUGGGAACGGCAUCCGGAACUGUCAGGCUAGAGUGCAGGAGAAGAAGGUAGAAUUCCCGGUGUAGCGGUGAAAUGCGUAGAGAUCGGGAGGAAUACCAGUGGCGAAGGCGGCCUUCUGGACUGACACUGACGCUGAGGUGCGAAAGCGUGGGUAGCAAACAGGAUUAGAUACCCCAGUAGUC
rnacentral:rRNA from 1 species